rnacentral:rRNA from 1 species
GACGAACGCUGGCGGCGUGCUUAACACAUGCAAGUCGAACGGAAAGGCCCUGCUUGCAGGGUACUCGAGUGGAGAACGGGUGAGUAACACGUGGGUGAUCUGCCCUGCACUUCGGGAUAAGCCUGGGAAACUGGGUCUAAUACCGGAUAGGAGCCAUUUUUAGUGUGAUUGUUGGAAAGUUUUUUCGGUGUAGGAUGAGCUCGCGGCCUAUCAGCUUGUUGGUGGGGUAAUGGCCUACCAAGGCGGCGACGGGUAGCCGGCCUGAGAGGGUGGACGGCCACAUUGGGACUGGGAUACGGCCCAGACCCCAACGGGAGGCAGCGGUGGGGAGUGGUGCACAAUGGGAGCAAGCCUGAUGCGGCGACGCCGCGUGGGGGAUGACGUGCUUGGGGUUGGGUUCUCCUUUCGCUAGGGACGAAGCGAUUUGUGACGGUACCUAGAUAAGAAGCACCGGCUAACUACGUG